rnacentral:lncRNA from 1 species
AUUUGGUUUAGGAUUUGUUUAGAAUUUAAGAUUUAGUUAGUUUUUGGCCUAAAGUUUGAAUGAAGUCUAAUAGGAUUUUAACUAGAAUUAAAUUAAGAUUGAAUUGAGAUAUAUUUGAGAUAUAUUUGUGAUCAUCCUAAUAUUUUUUUAAGAUUUCUUAUUAUUUCUUUGCAAUUCCUUUGAGAUUUCAUUGAAUUUGAUUAAAGCGUG